UUUUGAGCUAGUUUCUUCAACUUUUCUUCUUGUUUUCUUUUUCCCUCUUCCUUGGAUAACCUCGAGGAGUAUUACCACAUGUUUACAAGCUCGCUUCCAAACUCUCCCAUGUCAUCAAGAAUCUCAACUUUGGCAGAUUGUUCAAAGCUCCAAAACAAUAAGUUUUGAGAUAGUUUCUUCAACUUUUCUUCUUGUUUUCUUCUUCCCUCUUCCUUGGAUAACCUCUAGGAGCAUUACCACAUGUUAACAAAGGUAAACAAAGUUGGUAUGCCACCAUUUUUGAGGUCCAAGUGAGGAUUUUGUUAAGCUUUUUUUAAACUUGUUAUUAUUUUACCUUGUUUUCUUGGAACUUUUGACACUAAACCAAGUCACCAACUAAUCUCUAUGUUGAGGGACUUGUGUUAAGGUUUAUUCCUGAAAACAUGAGGUUCAUAUGUCUUUUCAUACUAGACGCUAAGUAAUCUUUAAGCCGUGAAAGUGAAGAAACCACACCAAGUCUUCAAUGAUACAAUGUUGGAAGCACUCGUCUUGGGUAACUUGGUGAUUCCAUCAUCUCAAACUGCUCACUCACAUUUGUGGAACUUAUCUUCGCAAGCCGUGAGUAUACAUGACCCAUUUUAUGCUUUAAACAGUAUUUGGGUUGCAACAUGUAUCCUUUUAA
rnacentral:lncRNA from 1 species